CAGCAGCCGCGGUAAUACCGGCGGCCCGAGUGGCGGUCACUAUUAUUGGGCUUAAAGCGUCCGUAGCCGGGUUGGGAAGUCCUCCGGGAAAUCUGGCCGCUUAACGGUCAGAAUGCCGGAGGAUACUCCCAGCCUAGGGAGCGGGAGAGGCCGAGGGUAUUCCCGGAGUAGGGGUGAAAUCCUAUAAUCCCGGGAGGACCACCUGUGGCGAAGGCGCUCGGCUGGAACGCGUCCGACGGUGAGGGACGAAGGCCAGGGGAGCAAACCGGAUUAGAUACCCGGGUAGUCCUGGCGGUAAACGAUGCGGACUUUGUGUCGGACAAGCUAUGAGCUUGUCCGGUGCCGGAGGGAAACCGUUAAGUCCGCCGCCUGGGGAGUACGGCCGCAAGGCUGAAACUUAAAGGAAUUGGCGGG
rnacentral:rRNA from 1 species